UGGGGAAUAUUGCACAAUGGGCGCAAGCCUGAUGCAGCCAUGCCGCGUGUAUGAAGAAGGCCUUCGGGUUGUAAAGUACUUUCAGCGGGGAGGAAGGCGAUAAGGUUAAUAACCUUGUCGAUUGACGUUACCCGCAGAAGAAGCACCGGCUAACUCCGUGCCAGCAGCCGCGGUAAUACGGAGGGUGCAAGCGUGAAUCGGAAUUACUGGGCGUAAAGAGCACGCAGGCGGUCUGUCAAGUCGGAUGUGAAAUCCCCGGGCUCAACCUGGGAACUGCAUUCGAAACUGGCAGGCUAGAGUCUUGUAGAGGGUGGUAGAAUUCCAGGUGUAGCGGUGAAAUGCGUAGAGAUCUGGAGGAAUGC
rnacentral:rRNA from 1 species